rnacentral:rRNA from 1 species
UACGUAGGGUGCGAGCGUUAAUCGGAAUUACUGGGCGUAAAGCGUGCGCAGGCGGUUCGCUGUGUCCGAUGUGAAAGCCCCGGGCUUAACCUGGGAAUGGAAUUGGAAACUGGCGGGCUUGAGUGUGGCAGAGGGGGGUGGAAUUCCGCGUGUAGCAGUGAAAUGCGUAGAGAUGGGGAGGAACACCGAUGGCGAAGGCAGCCCCCUGGGUCAAGAUUGACGCUCAUGCACGAAAGCGUGGGGAGCAAACAGG